UUUAAUAAAUAUACAUGAAAGCUAUUUUAUAAGUCAUAAAAAAGUGAGAGUGAAUCUGCUAAAUUCUUUUGAAAUGCUGCAGAUUUGAUAAAUAUUUGAGACUCUAGGCAAAUUGGUUUUAGGCAAAUUAACCUGAUAACCUUCGAUCCUUAGUCUUCAUUCUAUGCCACUUAGUUUCAUAUUGGAAAUAACUCACAUUUAGGGAUGAUUCUAAUGACUUUGCCAGCCAACCUGGGAAUUGCAUAAUAGAUGCCUCUGAGCAAGUGGAAGAGAUUCACACCAGAGUGCCAGAAAGGGAGGAAACACACUUUGUUUUUGGUGGGAUAAAUGUUCUGAAAUUACUUGUUCUACAGCUGGGAUUGAGCCUCCGUGGUGGCUCAGAUGGUAAAGAAUCCACUUGUAAUGUGGGUCGAGACCUAGGUUUGAUCCCUGUUGGGAAGAUCCCCUGGAGGAGGGCAUGGCAACUCUCUCCAGUAUUGCCUGGAGAAUUCCACGGACAGAGGAACCUGGCGGGCUACACAGUCCAUGGGGUCGCAGAGAGUCAGACACAACUAAGCGACUAAGCGCACAGCACAGCACAGCUGGAAUUGCUUCUUCCGAACUAUUGUUAUUAAAUAAGAAUACAAAGAUUCUGUGACCGGGAAAAUUUCUCAUCAGGGUACUCCAGGCCUGGGAAAUCCAGACAAGCAUGUGUAGCCUUACCUCCAUCCCUUCAGUUUUUUUUUUUUUUUUUUUUCUUUUUUAAUUGGAGGAUAAUUGCUUUACAAUAUUGUGUUGGUUUCUGCCAUACAUCAAUACGAAUCAGCCAUAGGUAUAAUACAUCCGCCCCUUCCUUGAACCUCCCUCCCACCUCUCACCCCAUCCCACCCCUCUAGGUUGUCACAGAGCACCAGGUUUGAACUCCUUCAGUUCAUUUACUCUUGGGAAUCUUGACCUCCAUCACUGACUGGCUGAUUCCUUUCCAGGUCUGUACUUAUAUGUCCUACCCCUGUUUGUGGGGUAGGAUUCUGUCUUUGCCACAGGGGCCACUUUCUCCCUCCUUUCUGAGGAAAAACAAGUGGUAAGGUCUGAUGAAGACGGGCCCAGGGAAGGCAGACCAUGGCAUAAGAGCAGCUCCGGCCGUCCGAUGGCAUCACAGAAGGACCCAUACCCCAGAGCUGACCUAGGGGCAUUCAGAAGCCUAAAGGCGAGACACUACAAGAAGGACAAGAGUAUAACCAAUCUCAGUUCUCUCCAUCUCCUCCUCCCUUGCAGCAAGGAAGACCUAAGACUGAGCCUCUGCUGUGCCAACUGCUUGUGUAGGGCCCUUGGUAUCCACACUUGGCUCUGGUUGGGAAGGAGGUCCUAAGGUUUGACCUGGGAAAUCUGAGCAGACUGUUCCUGGGAUACAUAGAUUCAGUUCAGUUCAGUUCAAUCACUUAGUCAUGUCCCACUCUUCAUGACCCCAUGGACCACAGCACGGUAGGCUCCCCUGUCCAUCCCCAACUCUCAGAGCUUGCUCAAACUCAUGUCCGUCGAGUCCGUGAUGCCAUCCAACUAUCUCAUCCUCUGUCAUCCUCUUUCUUCCUUCAGUCUUUCCCAGCGUCAGGGUCUUUUCUAAUGUGAAGUCAGCUCUUCACAUCAGGUGUCCAAAAAAAGUAUUGGAGCUUCAGCUUCAGCAUCAGCAUCAGUCCUUCCAAUGAAUAUUCAGGAUUGACUUCCUUUAGAAUUGAUUGAUUUGAUCUCCUUGCAGUCUGAGGGACUCUCAAGAGUCUUCUCCAACACCACAGUUCAAAAGCAUCAAUUCUUCAGUGCUCAGCCUUCUUUAUGGUCCAGCUCUCACAUCCAUACAUGACUACUGGAAAAAUCACAGCUUUGACUAGACGGACUUUUGUUGGCAAGCUUUUUAAUAUGCUGUCUAGGUUGGUCAUAGCUUUUCUUUCAAGGAGCAAGUAUCUUUUAAUUUCAUGGCUGCAGUCAACAUCAGCAGUGAUUUUGGAGCCCAAGAAAAUAAAAUCUCUCACUGUUUCCAUUGUUUCCCCAUCUAUUUGCCAUGAAGCGAUGGGACCGGAAGUCAUGAUGGGACUGGAUGCCAUGAUCUUUGUUUUUUGAAUGCUGAGUUUUAAGCCAGCUUUUUCACCCUCCUCUUUCACAUUCAUCAAAAGACUCUUUAGUUCCUCUUUGCUUUCUGCCAUAAGGGUGGUUUCAGCUGCAUAUCUGAGAUUAUUGAUAUUUCUCCCAGCAAUCUUGAUUCCAACUUGUGCUUCAUCCAGCCCAGCAUUUUGCAUGAUGUACUCUGCAUAGAAGUUAAAUAAGCAGGGUGACAAUAUACAGCACUGAUGUACUCCUUUCCCAAUUUGGAACCAGUGUUUUGUUCCAUGUCUAAUUCUAACUGUUGCUUCUUGACCUGCAUACAGAUUUUUCAGGAGGCAGGUAAGGUGGUCUGGUAUUCCCAUCUCUUUAAGAAUUUUCCACAGUUUGUUGUGAUCCACACAGAUAAACGCUUUAGUGCAGUCAAUGAAGCAGACGUUUUUUCUAGAAUUCUCUUUUUCUAUGACUCAACAGAUGUUGGCAAUUUGAUCUCUGGUUCCUCUGCCUUUUCUAAAUCCAGCUUGAACAUCUGGAAGUUCUCCGUUCAAAUACUACUGAAGCUUUGCUUGGAGGAUUUUGAGCAUUACUUUGCUAGCGUGUGACAUGAGUGCAAUUGUGCGGUACUGUGAACAUUCUUUGGCAUUGUCUUUGAGACUGGAAUGAAAAAUGACCUUUUCCAGUUCUAUGGGCAUUGCUAAGUUUUCCAAAUUUGCUGGCAUAUUGAAUGCAGCACUUUCAUAGCAUUAUCUUUAUGAUUUUAAAUAGCUCAGCUGGAAUUUUAUCACCUCCACUAGCUUGCUUUGUUAGUAGUGAUGCUUCCUAAGGCCCACUUCACUUCACAUUCCAGGAUGUCUGGCUCUAGGUGAGUGAUCAUACCAUAGUGGUUAUCUGGGUCCUUAAGAUCUUUUUUGUAUAGUUCUUCUGUGUAUUCUUGCCACCUCUUCUUAGUAUCUUCUGCUUCUGUUGGGUCCAUACCAUUUCUGUCCUUUAUUGUGCCCAUCUUUGCAUGAAAUGUUCCCUUGAUAUUUCUAAUUUUCUUGAGCUCUUAAUCUUUCCCAUUCUAUUCUUUUCCUCUAUUUCUUUGCAUUGAUCACUUAGGAAGGCUUUCUCUCUCCUUGCUAUUCUUUGGAACUCUGCAUUCAGAUGGAUAUAUCUUUCCUUUUCUCCUUUGCUUUUCACUUCUCUUCUUUUUUCAGCUAUUUGUAAGGCCUUCUCAGAAAACCAUUUUGCCUUUUUAAAUUUCUUUUUGGGUUUGGUUUUGAUCACUUCUUCCUGUACAAUGUUACACAUCUCCAUCCAGAGUUCUUCAGGCACUCUAUCUGUCAGAUCUAAUCACUUAAAUCUAUUGUCACUUCCACUGUAUAAUCGUAAGGGAUUUGAUUUAGGUCAUACCUGAAAGGUCUAGGGGCUUCCCUGGUGGCUCAUCUGGUAAAGAAUCCACCUGCAAUUCAGAAGACCUGGGUUCGAUCCCUGGGUUCGGAAGAUCUCUUGGGGAAGGGAAUGGCUACCCACUCCAGUAUUCUGGCCUGGAGAAUUCCAUGGACUGUAUAUCCAUAGGGUCACAAAGAGUCAAACAUGACUGAGCAAAUUUCACUUUCACCACUUUUUCAUCGAAUGGUCUGGUGGUUUUCCCUACUUUCUUCAGUUUAAGUCUGAAUUUGGCGAUAAGGAGCCACGGUAAGCUCCCAGUCUUGUUUUUGAUGACUGUAUAGAGAUUAGACCAGUCUACUUAUGAUGGUCAGGAAGUCAUCAGAGGCAAAUUCUGUCCACCAUGGGUAUGACUUCAUCUCAUCUUAGAAAGGAUAGUGUUGACCCAUAUAAAGGGAGCCAAGGUACUACCCAAGCAGGGAGAGAUGGGUUAGGAGGAGCACCUACUAAAAGGUAUUGGUUAGAUUUGUAUCUGAGACUGUUAGAGCCAAGUGAGGUGUGAGUUCAGAGAUAACCCCGUCACCUCAUUUUACUGAGUGAAGACAUAGAAACUCUUAAGUGAUGAUGGAACUUACCCAAGGUCACAAAGCUGGAAAUGGGCUUUCCAACUUUUGAAGAUUAAUAAAGGGCUUAUUUCCCCUCUUCCCUCCUCCUCAUCACAGGGACUCCCAGGGCAUAAGUAAAUGAGACAAGCACUUCAUUAUGACAGAUAAUUAGGACAAGUUUUAGUGGGAAAGCCAGGGAACACAAGAGACAAUAUGAAAAUUUGGGGUUCUUCCUAGUACUUUUUUGUUAAUUAGAAUUAGCAAUCACCAAAGUACCUUUAAGAGCACAUUAGGAGAAGCGAAGGAAAUAUACUGCAGGAGAGUCCCUGUCCUUGAGGAGGUCACAGUCUAGCCAGGGAGAUAAAUAUACACAUAAAAGGCGGUGAGAAGAUUACAAACAACAUGUCAACAAGUGCAAAGACAUUGAGUGUUACAAAUUAGAGACCUAAUGCACAGGGUACUGACGACAGUGGUGAGACUGGUCUGGCUUAAAGUGUCGAUCAGAAGGUAGCAACCCAUAGGCAUUGAGUUUGGCCCACUGGGAGUUAUUUUUUAUAGUAUUAAUUUGAAUCCUAGUUGAAGAGGGAAAAAAUGCUAAUAAAUGUAGAAAAAAUGACAGAACUGGAAAAACAGCAUUUUGUGAACUCUAGAAAAACUUUUGGUCCUAGCAAAGAUUAUUGAAGUGAAGUGAAGUUGUGUCCAACUCUUUGCGACCCCAUGGACUAUACAGUCCAUGGAAUUCUCCAGGCCAGAAUACAGGAGUGGGUAGCCAUUCCCUUCCCCAAGGGAUCUUCCCAACCCAGGGAUCGAACCCAGGUCUCCCACAUUGCAGGUGGAUUCUUUACCAGCUGAGCCACAGGGGAAGCCAGCAAAAAUUAUUAAUUAGUGUUUAAAACUAUAGGUGAAAAGACUGGAGACAACUGUACAUUCAUACAGCGCCAAGUAACACUAUCAGUUUAUAGUCUUGAAGCCAAAAAUGUAAGUGUAUGUUGGAGGGAUCAGACUGUCAUCACUCAUUUCCUGGAAACCAUCCUGGUAUUGCUAACCCAUAGACUAGUUCUGGUGUGAGGCAAAUACAUAGCCCAACCUAGCAUAUAUUCUCCCCACCCCAAAAGAAGUAUUAGAUAUAACCUGCAGUUUACAGGAAAUAGAGGGAGCAAACUAAUGGACACUAGGAGGUGAGGCAGUCUGCAGGGGAACUUGCCUGCUCUCUUCAGCAAGUCAGUAGAUAUAUAAUUUUAAGCCUAAACUGCUAGAUUGAAGAGACUUAAGGUUCACAAUGGGUUUCCCAGGUGGCUCAGCGGCAAAGAAUCUGCCUGCAGUGCAGGAGAUGCAGGAGACUCGGGCUGGAUCCCUGGGUCAUGAAGAUCCCCUGGAGGAGGGCAUGGCGACUCACUCCAGUAUUCUUGCCUGGAGAAUCCCAUGGGCAGAAGAGCCUGAUGGGCUAUAGUCUAUAGGGCUGCAGAGUCAGACACGACUGAAGCAACUGAGCACAUGCACAAGGCACACAAUAGCAAGAAAACACAUAGUCCUGGAUUCCCUACUGGUUUAAACAAAUUGCUACAAAAGGAAUUUGUGGUCAACUGGAAAUGUUUUAAUAUGGAGAGGGUAUUAGAUGAGGUGAAAAUGUACUGAGACGGAAAGGUCAAAAUCAUUAAUAAAAUACCAGUUCCAAAACCACAUGUGCAGGGUAAUCACAUUUUGCUUUUAAAAUGUCUACAUAUCUAAGAAUAAAAAAGACCUGAGAGGAUAUGCAGUAAGGUGUUAACGGUGGUGCUCUCUGAGAGGUGGAAAAAUGUUUUGCUGCUGUUGGCCUACAUUUUUCUAUUUUUAU
ensembl:lncRNA